AGUGCCUGAUGUUCCCGAGAGAGUAGUCAUAGAAGAAAUAUUACCAAUUUCUAUUACUAAAAAAGUGAAGAAGCCACCAGCUAAAGUGAGUGAAGAAGAGCCUUUCUAUGUAGAGGAGGAAGUACCUGUCCCUGUUCCCAAAAAAGUGGAAGCCCCACCAGCUAAAGUGCUUAAGAAAAAACCACCAGAAGAAUGGAAACCCCCUGUUGCUAUUGAAAUAGAAGAACCUCAGUUCACCAAAGUAACUGAAGUGCAAAGGAAAAUUAUCACCCAAGAAAAAGUAGCUGUCACUGAAAAGGAGGAAGCUCCACCAAAAAGAGUGCCAGAAGUUCCCAAGAAAGCUGUGCCAGAAGAGAAAGUGCCCAUUCCGGUCCAUAAAAAAGUGGCGGCUCCACCAGCUAAAGUGACUGAAGAAGAGCC